rnacentral:rRNA from 1 species
CCUACGGGUGGCAGCAGUGAGGAAUAUUGGUCAAUGGACGCAAGUCUGAACCAGCCAUGCCGCGUGCAGGAAGACGGCUCUAUGAAUUGUAAACUGCUUUUGUACGAGGGUAAACGCAGAUACGCGUAUCUGUCUGAAAGUAUCGUACGAAUAAGGAUCGGCUAACUCCGUGCCAGCAGCCGCGGUAAUACGGAGGAUUCAAGCGUUAUCCGGAUUUAUUGGGGUUAAAGGGUGCGUAGGCGGUCGGAUAAGUUAGAGGUGAAAGCCCGGGGCUCAACUUCGGAAUUGCCUCUGAUACUGUUCGGCUAGAGAGCAGGUGAGGUAGGCGGAAUGUCUGGUGUAGCGGUGAAAUGCUUAGAGAUCAUACAGAACACCGAUUGCGAAGGCAGCUUACCAGGCUACUUCUGACGUUGAGGCACGAAAGCGUGGGGAGCAAACAGGAUUAGAUACCCCUGUAGUC